rnacentral:rRNA from 1 species
CCUACGGGAGGCAGCAGUGAGGAAUAUUGGUCAAUGGGCGAGAGCCUGAACCAGCCAAGUCGCGUGAAGGAUGACUGUCUUAUGGAUUGUAAACUUCUUUUGUAGGGGAAUAAAGAGGGGCACGCGUGCCUCAGUGAAUGUACCCUACGAAUAAGCAUCGGCUAACUCCGUGCCAGCAGCCGCGGUAAUACGGAGGAUGCGAGCGUUAUCCGGAUUUAUUGGGUUUAAAGGGUGCGUAGGCGGCCUGUUAAGUCAGCGGUGAAAUCUAGGAGCUUAACUCCUAAAUUGCCAUUGAUACUGGCGGGCUUGAGUGUAGAUGAGGUAGGCGGAAUGCGUGGUGUGGCGGUGGAAUGCAUAGAUAUCACGCAGAACUCCGAUUGCGAAGGCAGCUUACUAAGGUACAACUGACGCUGAAGCACGAAAGCGUGGGUAUCAAACAGGAUUAGAUACCCUGGUAGUCCACGCAGUAAACGAUGAUAACUGGGCGUAUGCGAUAUACAGUAUGCUCCUAAGCGAAAGCGUUAAGUUAUCCACCUGGGGAGUACGCCGGCAACGGUGAAACUCAAAGGAAUUGACGG